GACCUGUAUACCAUGCUGAACAUAAACACCACUCCUGUUUUGCAAGAGAUGACUCGCAAUAUGUCAAUCAGCUUCAACCAAACAAAUACAAAGAUAAAUGAAAGAUAUGGCAGUGUAUCUUAUGGGCGCGUAUACACGGGGACAAUGCUGCACAGGAUUAGGGGAAUGAUAUGCAUGAUGGUGCUGGGCGGGGUGGGAGGUGGGGUAAAGAACACGCUAUAGAUGGGGUGAUGGGAUUUGAAUGGUUUGGGAGCCAAAAAGAAAUAAUUGAACCGAUGAACUUGUGUCAAUCUUUUUGCUGUUGUCCUGAGCUCUGCUUCUCCGUCGGCCCCCCCUCAUCCAUCAUUCCUGAUCAUCUCAUUUCUAAAUCAUUCGCACAAAGUGCUUUUUACAAGUUCUUCAGAAAUCAGUUCAAUGGGAGGUGACCGCGUCUGAUGUGCAAUGCAUUCUCUCACAUACCUGUUUCUGUUCUUCAAUGCAACUGCUACUAUAAGCUCCCUUCAGUAGAUCUGCCGCUCCCAGAGGCGUACUAGAUUCGCUGAUCGUAAAACUUUAAGCAUAAACUUUUCCAUCAAUAUUCCACGAAUUAAGUGAUCUCAUGCAAACUAUGUCGCAACAUCAACAAGAGACAUCCUGGCCGAAACCGACCAUCUCCAAUGCUUAUAUCAGAAACCCAAAUAAUGACACAACAAGAAAUUGUCUACAUUGUGUAUAUCAAUCAUCUGAUUGAAAAGAUGUAUGAGAAAGACCUCCUUUUGCUUCUACAUCUGUGGAGCUGGAUAAGACUGACCAUAGUAACCGGGAGCUUGAGGGUUGGUUGAUGUGUAGACUUGUGGGUAUGAUGCCAUCAUAUGAGCUUCUUGGUUACUGUUCAUAUAAACUCCAUGACCAUGAUUAUAUCCUGGCAUCAGCGUAGCAGAUGUGUUGGGUAUUUGUUGUUGCAUCUGCAUUGAAUGUUGCAAAUGCAUCGACUGUUGCAGCUGCAUAGACUGCUGCUGGAGCUGCAUUGUAUCCUGUAACUGCUCACCACCAGCUUGUAACAUCAACUGGGAAUAGACAUAUUCAUCAACUCUUUGCUUUGCAAGGGCGACCUGUUGUGCACUACCACCAAGGUGAACUUGUCUUUGUUUCUGCUCGCCUUUCCCACCAUGUACCUUAAUUGUCGCUCCAGACUCUGCACGGAUCCUUGAAAUAUUGGAGCCGCACCUUCCAAUCAACCCACCAGCUAAUGAUUCGGGAACUAACAUAGUCAGAUUUACAUAUUCAGCUGAAGAUGGAUCCACAUGUGGUUGAGGUGGACGAGAAUAACCAAGAUUGUAAGUCGGGCUGAUCGAAAUUACUUGUUUAGGGGGGUUAUCCCUCAAUUG
rnacentral:misc_RNA from 1 species